rnacentral:rRNA from 1 species
GACGUAGGGGGCUAGCGUUGUCCGGAAUCAUUGGGCGUAAAGCGCGUGUAGGCGGCCCGGUAAGUCCGCUGUGAAAGUCGGGGGCUCAACCCUCGAAUGCCGGUGGAUACUGUCGGGCUCGAGUGCGGAAGAGGCGAGUGGAAUUCCUGGUGUAGCGGUGGAAUGCGCAGAUAUCAGGAGGAACACCGAUUGCGAAGGCAGCUCGCUGGGACGUUACUGACGCUGAGACGCGAAAGCGUGGGGAGCAAACAGG